rnacentral:rRNA from 1 species
GAGUUUGAUCUUGGCUCAGGUUGAACGCUGGCGGCGUGUCUAAGGCAUGCAAGUCGAACGAGUACCUUCGGGUACUAGUGGCAAACGGGUGCGUAACACGUUGGUAACCUACCCCAAAGACAGGAAUAACUUUUCGAAAGGAAAGCUAAUACCUGAUGUGCUUACCUUCUAUAAGGAGGGUAAGUAAAGCUCAGGCGCUUUGGGAGGGGCCUACGGCCUAUCAGCUAGUUGGUAGUGUAAUAGACUACCAAGGCUAUGACGGGUAGCGGGUGUGAGAGCACGACCCGCCUCGCCGGAACUGAGACACUGUCCGGACUCCUACGGGAGGCUGCAGUCAAGAAUCUUUCUCAAUGGACGAAAGUCUGAAGAAGCGACGCCGCGUGCAGGAGACGGCCUCGGUUGUAACGUAGCUUUAUUAGGUACGGAAUUUAGUGUACGGUACCGUAACUAGAAUAAAGGGGUGGCGUAACU